rnacentral:tRNA from 1 species
GAAACGGUAGCUCAACGGAGGAGUGUUGGCCGUCCACGUAAGAGGUUGCGGGUUCAAUUCCCGUCCGUUUCA